UACGUAGGGUGCGAGCGUUGUCCGGAAUUAUUGGGCGUAAAGAGCGUGUAGGCGGUCCGGUAAGUCCGCUGUGAAAGUCGGGGGCUCAACCCUCGGAUGCCGGUGGAUACUGUCGGGCUUGAGUACGGAAGAGGCGAGUGGAAUUCCUGGUGUAGCGGUGAAAUGCGCAGAUAUCAGGAGGAACACCAAUUGCGAAGGCAGCUCGCUGGGACGUUACUGACGCUGAGACGCGAAAGCGUGGGGAGCAAACAGG
rnacentral:rRNA from 1 species